UGCGGGAUAGUCUAAUGGUAGGACGGCGCGCUCUGGACGCGUUAGUCUAGGUUCGAAUCCUAGUCCCGCAG
rfam:Candidate division WWE3 bacterium RIFCSPLOWO2_01_FTLL_42_11 rifcsplowo2_01_scaffold_6737, whole genome shotgun sequence.